CACGCCGUAAACGAUGAAUACUAGGUGUAGGGGUUGUCAUGACCUCUGUGCCGCCGCUAACGCAUUAAGUAAUCCACCUGGGGAGUACGGCCGCAAGGUUAAAACUCAAAGGAAUUGACGGGGGCCCGCACAAGCAGUGGAGUAUGUGGUUUAAUUCGAAGCAACGCGAAGAACCUUACCAGGGCUUGACAUCCUCGGACGACACUAGAGAUAGUGUUUUCUCUUCGGAGACUGAGAGACAGGUGG
rnacentral:rRNA from 1 species